rnacentral:rRNA from 1 species
CAGCAGCCGCGGGAAAACGGAGGGGGCUAGCGUUGUUCGGAAUUACUGGGCGUAAAGCGCACGUAGGCGGCUUGGUAAGUUAGAGGUGAAAGCCCGGAGCUCAACUCCGGAAUUGCCUUUAAGACUGCCGAGCUAGCAGGUGAGAGAGGUAAGUGGAAUUCCGAGUGUAGAGGUGAAAUUCGUAGAUAUUCGGAAGAACACCAGUGGCGAAGGCGGCUUACUGGCUCAUACUGGACGCUGAGGUGCGAAAGCGUGGGGAGCAAACAGGAUUAGAUACCCCGGUAGUCCCUGUCUCUUAUAC